CUUACACAUGCAAGUCGAACGGUGAAGCCAAGCUUGCUUGGUGGAUCAGUGGCGAACGGGUGAGUAACACGUGAGCAACCUGCCCUGAACUCUGGGAUAAGCGCUGGAAACGGCGUCUAAUACUGGAUAUGAGCUGCGGAGGCAUCUUCGUGGUUGGAAAGAUUUUUCGGUUUGGGAUGGGCUCGCGGCCUAUCAGCUUGUUGGUGAGGUAAUGGCUCACCAAGGCGUCGACGGGUAGCCGGCCUGAGAGGGUGACCGGCCACACUGGGACUGAGACACGGCCCAGACUCCUACGGGAGGCAGCAGUGGGGAAUAUUGCACAAUGGGCGGAAGCCUGAUGCAGCAACGCCGCGUGAGGGAUGACGGCCUUCGGGUUGUAAACCUCUUUUAGCAGGGAAGAAGCGAAAGUGACGGUACCUGCAGAAAAAGCGCCGGCUAACUACGUGCCAGCAGCCGCGGUAAUACGUAGGGCGCAAGCGUUAUCCGGAAUUAUUGGGCGUAAAGAGCUCGUAGGCGGUUUGUCGCGUCUGCUGUGAAAACCCGAGGCUCAACCUCGGGCCUGCAGUGGGUACGGGCAGACUAGAGUGCGGUAGGGGAGAUUGGAAUUCCUGGUGUAGCGGUGGAAUGCGCAGAUAUCAGGAGGAACACCGAUGGCGAAGGCAGAUCUCUGGGCCGUAACUGACGCUGAGGAGCGAAAGGGUGGGGAGCAAACAGGCUUAGAUACCCUGGUAGUCCACCCCGUAAACGUUGGGAACUAGUUGUGGGGUCCAUUCCACGGAUUCCGUGACGCAGCUAACGCA
rnacentral:rRNA from 1 species